UAAACAAAAAUAGUUUAAAUUUCAAUCAUUUCAGUGAUAUAUCACAUUAAAACAUAGCCUAGUAUAAAAAGUAUUCUAUCAAACAUUAAAAUUUAUACUAAGGCUGAUUUGUGCUUCAUUAUUUUAAAUUGUAUUACGUGUCCUCUGAAAAGUGCGACGAGACAUGUUUUCUGCUGAAGUCCUACAGCGUAUGGCGAACCAUUUGAAUUUUGAUACGUCACCGCAUGAGUCGUGAUGGUAAAAUUAAAGGACGAAAUCGGAAAUCCUAUCCUGGAGCGAUCGUAUUGGUGGUUGCAAUAAAUACACCAAAACGAUUAGUUUCACCGUGACCAACGUGGAGAGGUGUCAACGCAAAGCAUAGCACCUGGGACCAACAAGUGGCAAAAGCCUGGGACGAAGACGGCACUGGAGCCAGCUCAGAACAGGAGCAACUUCUAUACGUAAAUGCGCGGAUGGCUCACGGUGAAAUGGGCUUAGUGUACGAAGACAUGUGUUACUACGACCCAAGGACACUAUGCGAUUCACCCAGAUGUUGGAACGGUGUCUUCUGUUGGAACUGGUUGAUCGAUGCCGACGGAGGAGCAAAUCCUGAAAAAGCAUAAACACCGGGUGUUGACUCGGCGAUGGACGAAAGGAAAUGAAACAGUUCGAGAAGCCGCAUUUCAAUGCCAUUUUGAUGCAGGUAUGAUUUUUCGCUGCUGGAUUACGGAAAUAUGUUUGAACUGGUGAAUGUCGUCGUUGCGAAACGGGUUCAGCAUGGAAUUGCCAUCAUAUAGUGAUCGAAUUAUUACUCCGGACAAGGGAAUUUGACGUGGAUGUCAUAAUCAAACUUGCCGAUCAAUAUAAAACACUUCCCAUAGAAUUAUAUGUAACUCAGAUAACUUUUGCUCUUGUAUCAAUAAAAUAU